AUGUAACACGCGUCCACUGCGGUUCUGAGCGCGCCGUGCGCGCCCACCUGACGGCGGCUCGCGACGUGUUGUUCGCC
rnacentral:sRNA from 1 species